UGAACAUUAACAUAUUGACUUUUGCCCAAAUGCCAGUUUGAAGUAACCAUCAAGGAUGAUACUGGUUCAACAACAGCCAUGAUUUCAGAUAAAAUUGGAGAAGAACUAUUGUCUCUAACUGUAGCAGAAAUUCAUGACAUACGUUGCACCAAGGUAAAACACUCUACAACCUCUUGUUUAUUCCUUAAAAAUCUAAUUACAUGAUUUCUUCCAUCUUUCAGAAACAAUUGUUGUCACUCGUAUCCCUGCAACACAAACUGCUAGGUAAGACAUUCACCGUCCAAAUAAAGAAGUUGUUUGCCAAAAACAAGGAUGCAUCUUCAGCAAAACUGUUUAUCAUGUCAAUCACCGAGAAAGAUAUUGCUAGCAAUAUGCCACUGCCCAUCAACGCACCAACAACUCCAGAAAGCAGUAAACGCAAGAUGAAGAAAAUCAUAAUAAAAGAAGACUAAAAGUGUAAUACUUUUUUGCAAUAUGGUUGGCAACACCAUUUUGUCUUGAUGGCGUACACUUUUGGUGCUGAUAGCAUGGACUUUGCUGCAUAGUUAUAAGAAAUUGACAGGUGCUUUCUGAAUGAUGCUGACUAAUAGUCAAAAUACAGCAUUAUGUAAAUAUUGUAGAUAUCCAACCUAAAUAACACAGCCAUGACAACGAACAAAACAACUGCCAAC